rnacentral:rRNA from 1 species
UACGGAGGGUGCAAACGUUGCUCGGAAUCAUUGGGCGUAAAGCGCACGUAGGCGGCCUGAUAAGCCGGGUGUGAAAGCCCUGGGCUCAACCCAGGAAGUGCACUCGAAACUGUCAGGCUUGAAUAUGGAAGAGGGUCGCGGAAUUCCCGGUGUAGAGGUGAAAUUCGUAGAUAUCGGGAGGAACACCAGUGGCGAAGGCGGCGACCUGGGCCAAUAUUGACGCUGAGGUGCGAAAGCGUGGGGAGCAAACAGG